GGCUCAUACCGAAGGAAUACUGAGCAAGGUAGAAGGUGGUUCAUGACCAUGAGAAGACUUUUGACCGACGCUCCGCCUCACCCUUCACCCCGUAAUGGCACGGGCUAGUGAAUAGCGAUGUUUCAUUUAAGGGCAACUAUGUACUUUCGUUUUUUCAGUUAAGGUCAAUUUCAGCAAACUAAGAAUAAAUUUGAACUUUUGAAGCACGUGACGGAAAUCUUUGCGGAAUGAUGAUGGCUUAUCUACAAUGUGUGCGAGCACAGAUUAUUAUUGUAAUUAUCUGAAUAUGUUUAUUUUCUUGAAAAAUAUGUUUUCUUUAUGUAUAAUUA
rnacentral:misc_RNA from 1 species